UGAAGUUGAAAACCAGCCACGAUCCCCGGAUUCACGAGAGGGCGGCACCGGAGACGCCUCGUCACGGUGGUACCGAUAGUAGCAGUGCUGAGCAACGUGGCCGAAUCUAGAGCAGAUCUGACAUUGGAGACGUGGCCGGAAGUUCCUUCCACGUCCAUGCACAGCCGAACGACCCCCGCGCGUCACGCCAUCUGUGACCGAGACCAAUGAAUCUUCCACCAGAUUCGCACUAUACACACCUUCCUGAUCCGACGGAACAUGCCGAUUUUCACAUUCAAUCAAAGCAUCUACCAGUCGCUGAAAUGGAAGAGGAGUCGUGGACAACGAUGCGGAGGAGACCACACCUUCGAACUCGGAUGGAAGACCGGCAAGCAUCACCGCCGUUCGUUCCGCCACAGACACAGAUGUUUUAGACACUUCUAGAUGCGCACAUAGACUCUUUAGCUUGGCAACAUACUCUCGGAUCGACAAACUCCCUUUCUUGAGGGAGUGAAGUUCAUGACGCAACCUUUCUUGCCGCAGAUCCGUAUCAGCGGCGAACAUCGCCAACAUCGUAGGCCACACCUCGGAUGCCGAUUGCACAUCCAUAAAGGAGGAUAUAAUGGUCGAGCUUAUCAUCGAAAGAAGCCAUGAAGUAAUAAGAUUGUCCUGUUGAAUAAACAGAGAGGCUGCCGGAUUAAGUACAAGAGCACCGUCCGGUGCUUGUACAAAUCUCGGCGGCGCAGACACAGAUCCAUCCAGAAAACCAAACAAAUCAUAUCCAUUCACAAUAAAACGAACCUGUUGCUUCCAUUGGAGAAACGUCCCUUCAUCAAGCUUCACGACCUCAUACCGAGGAAACGAGUUCACCACCCGAUCAGCAGUGAAGACUGAACCAUUCAACUCAACGGAGUCAGAGGCAACAGAAUUUGUCGUGGCCAUUACUAAGAACGCCUAGCGACUGAUACCAUGAAAGAAACUAGGUAAAAUAGAGAAAAAUGUAGAACAAAUCUGUUUUCAAAUUAAUAUUUUCUGUUUACUUUGUUCCAAUACACAGCCAAAUGACUGUAUUUAUAGGAAGAAAAUAACUCCCUUGCUUAACUACUUAGCUAACAACUCAGCUAACCUUAACUGCCUCUCUAACAGAUACUUUCACUAACACUGAUCAUCAAUUGACCCUGGUCUAAUAACCCACAAGAAUGGCUGCUUACUAUUGGCUAAACCCCAAGCCGUUUCACCCAGCUCCUUCUUGUCUACAGAUGCUACACUCCCCAAGCUUACAUAUAGAACUGUGUUCUGUUUUUGCUUCUCAAGCCAUGUAAUGCAGCUGUUGUCCUCUUUUAUUAAGCUGCUUGAGGAGGCAGGGGCUACUUCGUGCAAAGGACAGACUGGGAAUAUGCCAACUUGGCAUUGUUUUUGAAUCUCUUGCAAUGACGGCUUUUCAAGGACAUCAUUAGUAUUCCAGAUAAUUGCUGAAGAUGUUCUUGUCUUGUAUAUGUUAGUUAUAAACUGCAAGAAAAUUUCUGGUGUUCCAAUCUUGGACACAGGCAGAUCCUUGAAUCUGAGGGGAUGAAGCCCAGGCACCAAGUCUUGCGAUGUUGAACCUAGGUAAAAAAUAUUGAACAAUGAUUCAAGGGCGCUGAUCAAAGAUGCUACAGCCCCUUAGAUAUUUGUGCUACUGAAAAAACUGCACAACAAGUAACCACCCUAGGAAUCUAAUAAGUUCGGUUAUAUAUGCUGUAGUAAAACAUCAUACGUACCUUGUGAAGUAAGAACACCUUCAGCUUUUAGUUGGAGAAUGGCAUUUCGAGAAAGGUAUGUUGAAGCACUGGUGGUUCGCAAGACAAUACUGGGAAGCUUCACACACUUGGCUACUGCAUCACAGAAAUACAUGCAUUCAUCAUAGACACUGCAGGCAAUACUUGGCUCAUUUUCUACCUCUUGUUUUUGUACCAUCUUGGCCAAGCAUUCUUGGAAGGGAACUCCACAAUUCAGGUUAAGAAGUGAUAUAAAAGGUAGUAAAUCGUCGGCAGAGAUGAGUUGCUCGGAUAAGUUAUCAGGUAUUGAUAAGAACCCAAAUUCAGGAUAGUUUGAGGGAAUAGGGGAGUUGAAUGCCGUGUGAAGAACUGUGAUGGAGAAGCCUUUAGAGUGAAGAAUGGAACCAAGCUGAAGCAUUGGAUUUAUGUGGCCUUGGAAUGGUAAUGCAACUAAUACAAGCCGGGGAUGGCUGCUCCUAUGCUCCUUUUCCAUCUCCAUCCUCUCAUCAAUCUUUGUAAGCUAUGCAGCGCGGAUCUUGUAUCAUACGAGUAUCUGCACGGGACACCUAGAUAUUUCCAGGACACGAGAAGCAUAAAAGUGGCUGAUGAUAUCUAGGAAAAAUUGGACACUAAGCGGCAGAUUAAGAUGAGCUUCAGCAACAACUGAACAAAUAAGAUAUUUUAAUUAUAUUAGGCUUAGCCAACUCAUUUGAGUUGUUGGGCAUAACUCCAACUUGAUAAAAAUAUAUCUUAUCCUCGUGUUUUGUUGUACCGUAAUUUCAUUCUUUUUAAAAAAAUUUGUCAUAAUCCUCUUGGUAUAGCAUGUUCAUGUUUGUGCUUCAUCAUCUGUAAGUUGUCAAAUUUUCGUCUAUCAUUUUCUUUUAUAAAUAAAUAGGAUAUCUCAUAAAAUGCUGAUGUGGGAAUUUGUUGGUCAUAAAUAAAUGGCCAUUUCAGAUUCGGAUGCUAGCUAAGCUGACUGAAGCUAUUUUGGCAGUGUUGAUUAUAAUUUUAGGCGUAAUUUGUUGUUUUUAUAAAACCUAAUUUCAUUGAGGAAAUUUUUUGAAUACUUAUAUAAACUUAGCAACUUUUCUUAAGUUAGUAUUUAAAUUUUUAACCAAAUUAAUCUCUUACUAUUAAAUUGUGAUAACAUGUCAUAUUAGCUUACAUUUGAAAAUAUAUUGGCGAUUCCUAAUUACUUCAUGCAGUCUAUGCUGAACCAUAAAGGC
rnacentral:lncRNA from 1 species